rfam:Oryza sativa Japonica Group DNA, chromosome 8, cultivar: Nipponbare, complete sequence.
AAAAAGCAAAUCCUAGGUUUCCGUGUCCAACUUUGACCGUUUGUCUUAUUUAAAAAAAUUAUAAAAAAAAUUAAAAAGACAAUUCACACAUAAAGUAUUAAUCAUGUUUUAUCAUCUAACAACAAUAAAAAUACUAAUUAUAAAAAAAUUCCAUAUAAAACGGACAGUCAAACGUUGGACACGGAAAUCCAGGGUUUGUCUUUGU